AACGAACGCUGGCGGCAUGCCUAACACAUGCAAGUCGAACGAGACCUUCGGGUCUAGUGGCGCACGGGUGCGUAACGCGUGGGAACCUGCCCUUAGGUUCGGAAUAACUCCCCGAAAGGGGUGCUAAUACCGGAUAAUGUCUUCGGACCAAAGAUUUAUCGCCUUUGGAUGGGCCCGCGUUGGAUUAGCUAGUUGGUAGGGUAAAAGCCUACCAAGGCGACGAUCCAUAGCUGGUCUGAGAGGAUGAUCAGCCACACUGGGACUGAGACACGGCCCAGACCCCUACGGGAGGCAGCGGUGGGGAAUAUUGGAAAAUGGGCGAAAGCCUGACCCAGCAAGGCCGGGGGAGUGAUGAAGGCCUUGGGGUUUAAAAGCUCUUUUACCCGGGAUGAAAAUGACAGUCCCGGGAGAAUAAGCCCCGGCUAACUCCGU
rnacentral:rRNA from 1 species